CGGUUACACAAAUAAUGCGAUAGUUAAUGUUUGGUUUAAUAAUUAAUAGAUUUAUAGGAAUUUAAGGUUAAUUUUAUUAGGUGAAAUUUUAAGAUUAAUUAAUAUUUAUUUAUAGAUUAUGAAGUUAGUAAAUUUAUUUUUAGACUAGGAUUAGAUACCCUAUUAUUUUGAAGGUAAAUAUAGAUAAACUUGAUUAGUAUUAGUUAUAGUCUUGAAAAUUAAAGAAGAUGGCGGUAUUUUAGUCUAUUCAGAGGAACCUGUCCUUUAAUUGAUAGUCCACGAUUUUUUGUACUUAUAUUUAGUUUACAUAUCGUCGUAGAUUGAAUAUUUUUGUUAAAUAUUAAUAUUCAAGAUGUUUAUUAGAAAAGAUUUCAGAUCAAGGUGUAGCUUAUAUUUAAGUAGAGAUGGGUUACAAUAAAUUUAUUUAAACGGAUAAAAAUUUUAAUAAUUUUUUUAAAGGUGGAUUUGAUAGUAAUUUUAUUUAAUUAAAUAAAAUGAUUAUAGCUCUAAAAUAUGUACAUA
rnacentral:rRNA from 1 species